UCGAGCUGAAAGCAAGAAUGAAAAAAAUAGAAAAAGAGUGUUUAAAAAAUGGUUAAUCGAUCAAUUAUGGAAUGGGAAUUGAAAGUUUUGCUGUUGCCUGGCAACAAAAAUUGUGUUUGCGAUUUCGCAAUGCCGAAUGUUGGCCGAAAGUUAUUUUUACUGGCCAAUACCUCACAUUUUAUUACUCUGUUUUGCAGCUAAAAAUACUCUCGUGCCUCUGCCUGCCCUGCCUGCCGCUGGGAAGGAGAAGGUUCGGUUCGGUUCAUAAACAGAAUUUAUAUUUAAAGCGAAAGAUAAAUUUAGUGAAAAUGCGCAAGCAGAGCAUGGGAAGAGCCACAGCACAACCGAAAAUCAAUCUAAUAAUAAUUUAUGUCUACGAAAGAAAAUCGGUAACAAAAAAAUUAUAUUAUUUUGCUCAAUAUAACGGAAUUAACGAAAGGUAUGCGAUGAAUAUGCAUUGUUUUUCCAAUAAAAUAUGUUUUGGAAAAUGUUUAAAUUUAUUAGCGUAUAUGUAAAUAAUCAUAAUAUCAUUCUUUAAUAAAAUGGAAAUAAUUCACACAUAUCCACAAAGCUGUAUUUAAAUAUUAUUUCGAACGCAAGUAUAAAUUGCAGAAAUGCAUAGUAGAAGCCCCUGACAUAAGUAGUGACCACGAAAUUUUGGUAGUCCUGGAUAUCCCACGAGUACAUUACCUCGUGAGUAGAAAGAUAGGAGAAGACUUUGUCCUUAAGCUUAAUAUUAUAAAGGAUCUUAGCUAUUUCGUCAAUUGAAAUCUCUUCGUCUGUCUCUCUGCAAAAGGAUAAGGAGCAGAGAGAGAGAGAGAGAGAGCGACUGCGAAGCAGAGGAGUCAUCACCGCAAAUGGUUUUCUUCAUUCCGCCAUUAGGGAGGGGCAAAAAUACACUUCAGAUAUUACAGUAGCCGGGCCACAGGAUCUAGUUGCUGUAGUUCUUUAAGUCUGUGAGAAGUGAACACUAUGCAGCAAACAUGCCUGAUCUGACAGACAGAAAUGACUAUAUCGUUUCGGCUAUUGUUGAUGAUCAUGAAUAAAUAUACGCUUAUUCGGAAACACUUACAUCUGGCUGUUACCUACAUCUACCCGGAUCCAAUAUACCCUAUCUUGUUCUCUUUUAGUGUUUAUGUAUAAAUAGAAUGAUCUUCUGAUGCAUUUCGUAUUUUGA